UGCGUAAAAUGGAUUCGUCUGCCCAAGGAUGGGUCUGCGGCCUAUCAGGUAGUAGUGGGUGUAAUGUACCUACUAGCCUACGACGGGUACGGGUUGUGAGAGCAAGAGCCCGGAGAUGGAUUCUGAGACAUGAAUCCAGGCCCUACGGGGCGCAGCAGGCGCGAAAACUUUACAAUGCGGGAAACCGUGAUAAGGGGACACCGAGUGCCAGCAUCCUAUGCUGGCUGUCCGGGUGUGUAAAAUACACCUGUUAGCAAGGGCCGGGCAAGACCGGUGCCAGCCGCCGCGGUAACACCGGCGGCCCGAGUGGUGAUCGUGAUUAUUGGGUCUAAAGGGUCCGUAGCCGGUUUGGUCAGUCCUCCGGGAAAUCUGACAGCUCAACUGUUAGGCUUUCGGAGGAUACUGCCAGACUUGGAACCGGGAGAGGUAAGAGGUACUACAGGGGUAGGAGUGAAAUCUUGUAAUCCCUGUGGGACCACCUGUGGCGAAGGCGUCUUACCAGAACGGGUUCGACGGUGAGGGACGAAAGCUGGGGGCACGAACCGGAUUAGAUACCCGGGUAGUCCCAGCCGUAAACGAUGCUCGCUAGGUGUCAGGCAUGGCGCGACCGUGUCUGGUGCCGCAGGGAAGCCGUGAAGCGAGCCACCUGGGAAGUACGGCCGCAAGGCUGAAACUUAA
rnacentral:rRNA from 1 species